UGGGCGAGAGCCUGAACCAGCCAAGUCGCGUGAAGGAAGAAGGAUCUAUGGUUCGUAAACUUCUUUUGCAGGGGAAUAAAGUGCAGGACGUGUCCUGUUUUGUAUGUACCCUGAGAAUAAGGAUCGGCUAACUCCGUGCCAGCAGCCGCGGUAAUACGGAGGGUGCAAGCGUUACUCGGAAUCACUGGGCGUAAAGAGCACGUAGGCGGCCUUGCAAGUCAGAUGUGAAAUCCAACGGCUUAACCGUUGAACUGCAUUUGAAACUGCAAGGCUAGAGUAUGGGAGAGGUAGGUGGAAUUCUCGGUGUAGGGGUAAAAUCCGUAGAGAUCGAGAGGAAUACUCAUUGCGAAGGCGACCUGCUGGAACAUUACUGACGCUGAGGUGCGAAAGCGUGGGGAGCAAACA
rnacentral:rRNA from 1 species